ACUAAGACCCAACGCAGCCAAAAAUAAAUAAAAUAGAUAAGUGAUGUAGGUUGAAAAAAAUGGAGAACUGUACAGAUGUUAUGAAACAAUUGGUACUUCCCUGAGGGGUAAGAAGAGAAAUUUACAGAAUCACAGAGCACAGUGUGUCAUGUAGCGGCUCCAGAGAGCACACAGCAUCCUUCAGCGGAUAAAGCAAAGGGCAAGGAGCUUGAUGCACAAUAUGGAAAAAUAAUACAUGAAAAAAUAAAAAUAAUACAUAAACUAUCAAACCAAAUCCCCAGAUAAAGGCAAACACAAAAAAGAGUCCACACCUUGUAGAAGACAUCAUUCUCUUCCAUUACCUAAUGCCUGGCUUUCAAGAAAUUAGCGACACCCUACCUUGCGGAGGGGCUUGAGCUUGGUCUCCAUGAUGAAGUCGUACUUGCACAGCUCACAGCAGCGCGUGUCGGAGCUUUUGAUCCACUGGUGGAGGCAGGCC